AUGAUGUAUGUAAGCAUCACACCCAUUGUUCUGAGUGGCCGGGAAAUUACGACAUGAUGUAUGUAAGCAUCACACCCAUUGUUCUGAGUGGCCGGGAAAUUACGACAUGAUGUAUGUAAGCAUCACACCCAUUGUUCUGAGUGGCAGGGAAAUUACGACAUGAUGUAUGUAAGCAUCACACCCAUUGUUCUGAGUGGCAGGGAAAUUACGACAUGAUGUAUGUAAGCAUCACACCCAUUGUUCUGAGUGGCCGGGAAAUUACGACAUGAUGUAUGUAAGCAUCAUACCCAUUGUUCUGAGUGGCCGGGAAAUUACGACAUGAUGUAUGUAAACAUCACACCCAUUGUUCUGAGUGGCCGGGAAAUUACGACAUGAUGUAUGUAAGCAUCACACCCAUUGUUCUGAGUGGCAGGGAAAUUACGACAUGAUGUAUGUAAGCAUCACACCCAUUGUUCUGAGUGGCAGGGAAAUUACGACAUGAUGUAUGUAAGCAUCACACCCAUUGUUCUGAGUGGCCGGGAAAUUACGACAUGAUGUAGAGUAUGUAAACAUCACACCCCUUGUUCUGAAUGGCUAGGACUUAAAUAUCACACCCAGGUGUGACUUCACGCCAGGAUGUAAAUAUCACACCCAGUGGCCGUGGCAUUACCACAUGUUGUAUGUAAACAUCACACCCCACUUUUUUGAUUACAGUAUAUCGGAUGUGAGGAGGGUCCUAGUGUCUGUGUGCAGACAUGGUGUAAAAGGUGCUGAUCAAGCAGACAACAUCUUGAGCAUUGACUCUUGGGCAGCAUCCAGUCAGCCAACUCUAUUCCAUCACUGAGCAGAAAACACCUGUAGACAGCUAGCUGAGAACCACGGAGAUGUGCAGCCAACAACUUCAGAGCCAUUGUUAUUUGUCUGCUGGUGGUUGACAGGGUCCUCAUUGUAUUCAAACUGGUUAGGUUUUAGGCCUCCUAUAGCAUUCACACCUGGCCCUGUGGAGAAUCAACACGCAGCUGGCUGGACUUCACAGGACCCUGGAAGUUCAUUUUUGAAUUACUUUGGUGCAAUUUUUACAAGUAUGUGGAACAUUUUCACAACUCUAAGCACAAAAAUGCAAUCAGAUCAUCGAAAUAGCUCAUGCGUCAAAGCACAUUUUCAUUUGACUGAGUACAACAAACAAAUUCACAGUCACUUGUUCACUGCACCAAAUGACACUUUCAAUUUGGAUACAUACUCAAUCUAAGUAUCUGCUUUUCAAAAUACAAUAUUCACUUUAUUUUUAUAUGAUUUUCAUAAUUUGUUAACAAUACAAUGAACUAUCACUUAAUUAAACUGCUCAAAACUGAUAACUACUGAACCAAAAUUAUAUAGUGCAUAGUUAACGUACAGUGCCUUUGGAAAGUAUUCAGACCCUUUUCUAUGAGACUCAAAAUUGAGCUCAGGUGCAUCCUG